UACGGGGGGGGCAAGCGUUGUUCGGAAUUACUGGGCGUAAAGGGCUCGUAGGCGGCCAACUAAGUCAGACGUGAAAUCCCCAGGCUCAACCUGGGAACUGCGUCUGAUACUGGAUGGCUUGAAUCCGGGAGAGGGAUGCAGAAUUCCAGGUGUAGCGGUGAAAUGCGUAGAUAUCUGGAGGAAUACCGGUGGCGAAGGCGGCAUCCUGGACCGAGAUUGACGCUGAUGAGCGAAAGCUAGGGGAGCAAACGGG
rnacentral:rRNA from 1 species